UACGGGGGGGGCAAGCGUUGUUCGGAAUUACUGGGCGUAAAGGGCUCGUAGGCGGCCAACUAAGUCAUACGUGAAAUCCCUCGGCUUAACCGGGGAACUGCGUCUGAUACUGGAUGGCUUGAGAUUGGGAGAGGGAUGCGGAAUUCCAGGUGUAGCGGUGAAAUGCGUAGAUAUCUGGAGGAACACCGGUGGCGAAGGCGGCGAUCUGGACGAUGACUGACGCUGAGACGCGAAAGCGUGGGGAGCAAACAGG
rnacentral:rRNA from 1 species